CACAGUGACUCAGAAACUGAUAGUUUGGCUGAUGGUUUGUAUGUGUGUUGCAGACAUGGCUGUGAUUUCUGAAGAACUAGUGCCCUGACUCACCUGCAGGACAUCUAGUAAUCCUGGGCAAAUAUCCAGACGCCUGAAAUUCUGCGUAGACACCAUUUUGCAGCAGAAGAGGAGGAACAAACUGUGGAAAACCCUGGGAAUCAGUGGCACCUACUGUGCGCUAGCUGCUCUGACUGUUUCACUUUGCUUCAGUUAAUCUAGAAGUGACUUUUCCUCUUCUGCUUUUCAUAGUCCUUUAGAAUAAAUAACAAAAAAACCCUCUUUCCACUGUCAUAUUGAAGCAUGUCUGAGAUUCAAGGCACCUCUCAGAAUGGCCUUUGCUGCAAGAGCAUCUGUUUGGAUGUUGAAGUUUUGGGACAUGGCACGAAAUUAGAAAUGGCAGCCACAAGACCUGUAGGGAGCAGAGCUGGUGUGCUGUGCUGCUCAGGGUUAGCAGCAAGGACCCCAAGUGACCUCCCUGCUGUCAGCACACGUGGCUGAGGGAGACAGCGAAGUUCACGUGAGAAGGUUCAGGGCAAAGUUGGGCCCAUGCUGAAGACUUCUGAAAAUGCUGCUCUGCAGUUGUGGAUCUGGUGCCAUCACCUCCUGUGAACUCACUGAUGUCUCACCACUGUAAGAGACAGCAAGAUCUGGCAGCUCUGCUCACCUCCAGUGUAAGUGCUUAACAGAUACCCAUUGGAAACAAGUGUUCAGCAUGGCUGCAGAAGGGGCCCCAUGCUCUUACUAACAAAUAUUGGCAACAUUUCAUGAAGUCCUUGUUCUCUGUUGGGGAUGCAGGGAAAUACAG
rnacentral:lncRNA from 1 species